GCUUCGAGUUUCUGAUUCAUCGCGAGCUUGUCGACUGCUAGUGCGCCAAGAUCGAGACUGAUCGAAUAGGUGGUGUCGGCUUUCGUCAGCGCAUUCUUCAAAGGCAUCGCAAGCGUGACGAUCGCGGACACCGUGCCCUUGCUCGAAUUGGGAUCGAUCACCGUGUCGCCCGCUUCGCGCAGCCGUUCCGAUUGCAGGACUUCGGCGGCCGCAGGAACCGGGCCAUCGAUCCGGAAGCGCACUUUGGUGGGCGCGGGCUUCGGUGCGAGAUCCGGCACUUCAAACGUCAGAUCGGAAAUGCCAAGUCGUCGGCCGGCCGGGGUAUCGACCGCUCCCUGCCCCACGUUGAUGUUGACGGUCCGCCCGCUCACACGCCCCUUCAUGUCGGCAUCGCGAACCAGAGGCAUGUCAUCGACGGGCC
rnacentral:misc_RNA from 1 species